rnacentral:rRNA from 1 species
GCCCUUCGGGGUACACGAGCGGCGAACGGGUGAGUAACACGUGAGCAACCUGCCCCUGACUCCGGGAUAAGCGGUGGAAACGCCGUCUAAUACCGGAUACGACCCGCCACCUCAUGGUGGAGGGUGGAAAGUUUUAUCGGUCAGGGAUGGGCUCGCGGCCUAUCAGCUUGUUGGUGGGGUAACGGCCUACCAAGGCGAUUACGGGUAGCCGGCCUGAGAGGGCGACCGGCCACACUGGGACUGAGACACGGCCCAGACUCCUGCGGGAGGCAGCAGUGGGGAAUAUUGCACAAUGGGCGAAAGCCUGAUGCAGCGACGCCGCGUGGGGGAUGACGGCCUUCGGGUUGUAAACCUCUUUUACCACCAACGCAGGCUCCACGUUCUCGUGGGGUUGACGGUAGGUGGGGAAUAAGGACCGGCUAACUACGUGCCAGCAGCCGCGGUAAUACGUAGGGUCCGAGCGUUGUCCGGAAUUAUUGGGCGUAAAGAGCUCGUAGGCGGCAUGUCGCGUCUGCUGUGAAAGACCGGGGCUUAACUCCGGUUCUGCAGUGGAUACGGGCAUGCUAGAGGUAGGUAGGGGAAACUGGAAUUCCUGGUGUAGCGGUGAAAUGCGCAGAUAUCAGGAGGAACACCGGUGGCGAAGGCGGGUUUCUGGGCCUUACCUGACGCUGAGGAGCGAAAGCAUGGGGAGCGAACAGGAUUAGAUACCCUGGUAGUCCAUGCCGUAAACGUUGGGCGCUAGGUGUGGGGACUUUCCACG